ensembl:snRNA U6 U6 spliceosomal RNA
GUGCUCAUUUCAGCAGCACAUAUACUAAAACGGGAACGUUACAGAGAAACUUAGAAUGACCCCUGUGCAAUGAGGACACACAAAUUCAUGAAGUGAAACAAAAAAAA